rnacentral:rRNA from 3 species
UCGGUCCCUAUCUGCCGUGGGCGCUGGAGAAUUGAGGGGGGCUGCUCCUAGUACGAGAGGACCGGAGUGGACGCAUCACUGGUGUUCGGGUUGUCAUGCCAAUGGCACUGCCCGGUAGCUAAAUGCGGAAGAGAUAAGUGCUGAAAGCAUCUAAGCACGAAACUUGCCCCGAGAUGAGUUCUCCCUGAGACUUUAAGUCUCCUGAAGGAACGUUGAAGACGAUGACGUUGAUAGGCCGGGUGUGUAAGCGCAGCGAUGCGUUGAGCUAACCGGUACUAAUGAACCGUGAGGCUUAACCUU